rnacentral:ncRNA from 2 species
AACGUGCUCCGGGGUCGGUGAGAGUCCGAACCGGCGGUGACAGUCCGCGAGCGGGAGGCCCAGCCUCCUGUUGAGCCGGUGGAAUUCCGGCACCGACGGUAAUGCGUGCAGGCGAGAGCCUGGGCGCUCAGUCCGGAUGGGAGGCGCACGUC